rfam:Desulfobacterales bacterium PC51MH44 PC51MH44_contig000206, whole genome shotgun sequence.
UCUAUUGUCGGACAGCCUCCUAUGCCGGCGUGCUACAGUUGCGCCGAUGACGGGGUGUGGAGCUCGUCCAACAAUGUACCGAAUCGGGAGAAAACCGUGAGGCGGACUCCUUUCCGAGAAUUACGCUCGGUUAAGGGC